rnacentral:misc_RNA from 2 species
AAGUCGUAACAAGGUUUCCGUAGGUGAACCUGCGGAAGGAUCAUUAACUACCGGCACCCCUCCCGGGGGGUGCGCGGCUCGGGGCGACCCGUGCCGUCUGUAGUCCCUGUCUUUUCGAGUACCUGUUCCGUUUCCUCGGCGGGCCUGCCCGCCAGCGAGGACCCAAACCAAACCCUGAAGUGAGCGGUUACGUCUGAAAACAAACAAAAUCUAUCAAAACUUUCAACAACGGAUCUCUUGGUUCUG